ensembl:lncRNA
AUGCUUGUUUGCCCACCUCAGGUCUCCGCACCGGAGCGGAGCCGUUGUAGAGCGGGUACCAGUAACCCCCAAAUUCCACUACCUCCGCUCCGCUCCCGCCUUCCGCAGCCGCUCGCUUCCGAACUCAAUUUUUACUGGUACCCCCUCUACAACGGCUCCGCUCCGGUGCGGAGACCUGAGGUGGGCAAACAAGCAUGUGCGGGAUUUUUGAGAUCUUGCGAUACAGUCCGAGCAAUAAACGCGGAAGUUAGAUCCAAACACCCGUUGUGUGGGAGAAGCAUCGGCAUGAACUGUUUAAUCUGCCCAUCAUUUGUGUUGAGAGAUCAGCAGUGUUUGGAUCAACAAAGUGUGACUACUUUGAAAGUAGAAACUGUAUUUAUGGCUUACUUUUGUGCAUUUAAACUUCAGCUGCCAUUGAUAGUUGUUAAAAGUUGUUAAACCUGUGCAUAUGAAACAAAAAACGCCUUUUGUUUAUCGAUUUAUUGUGAAAAACGGAAAUUGUGCUUGCUUCUUUUCCUGUUGGGCCGUUGAGAUUUCUGUCCAUUUACUGCGGAGGUGCUCCGGCGUCCGGCAAAAAUAGGAUCGAUUCUAUUUUUGCCGGAUGCCGGAACAGAGGGCAGCGCACGGCGCCGCACUGCCGGAGCACGGCCGUAGUAGUGGAAUUGCUCUGAUUGACUACAACGGGACCGAUUUUGCUCCGGCGUUCGUGUCGGAGCGGAGCGGAGGUAGUGGAAUUUGGGGGUUAGAGAUAGGGUGAGAAGCUCUGUCUUCCGAGAGGGGCUCUGAGUAGGUCCGCUACUCCUCCAUGUUGAGAGGAGCCAGUUGAGGAGGCUCCGGCAUCUGGUCAGGAAGCCUCCUGGACGCUUCCCUGAUGAGAUUUUCCAGGCAAGUCCUACUGCGAGGUGACCCAAGGAAAGACCCAGGACACGCUGGAGGGACUUUGUAUCUCCGCUUGCCACGGAAAGCCUUGGGAAUCUCCCAGAGGGGCUGGCCUGAGUAGCAGGGGAGAAGGAAGUCUGGGCCUGUCUGCUUAGGUUGCUGCCCCUGCAACCCAACUCCAGACAAGCGACUAAAAAUGGAUGGAUGGAAGUUUUGCAUGAAAAUUGUACACUGGGUAAGAGUAAAGGCCGCCUGAUAUAUCUGGCCGAUAUGUUCAAUUAUUUUCUAUAUCGGCCACCGGCUGAAAUUAUUGUAAAAACCCGACAAAAAUAAUAAUAAUCAUCAGGCACAUCUGUGGCCAACUGCCGCCACUACUAAACUGAAGAAAGGACCCGAAGGACCCCAACACGCUGUUUUUUUAAUGUUUUGAGUUUGUUUUGUAUUUGAAGUUCAAUAAAUAUUAAGAGAUGUAAUGACUUAUUUAAUUUAUAUUGCACACAGUGAGUAUUCAGUUGUCUUUCACAAUCAAUGUGCUGCUAAAACGUAUACAUAUCAGCCUUAAUAAUCAGAUUUAGAUACCGUCCAUCUGCAAUAAACAUCGUUAAAAAUCGGAAUCGCAUCUGCCCUUAAAAAACCCAUACUGGUUGGCCUCUAGGUAAGAGCAAGAAAAAAGAAGGGGAUUGUAACAUCUGAGGUCAUAGGUUAGGUUAGGUUAGAGGUAAGGCAUCAAUGCCUUUUAUGUUUUGUUGAUUUACGUGAAAAUUCAAAGGUAGCGAUUUUGGACGUUUUUUACUUAAACUAUUCUUCUAAAUUUCCAUUCUAGGAUUCCUAAAACCCCAUUUCCAUGGCUGGAACAUUAACAACUUUUUGACCCAGGUUAAACUUUAAAAUAAUGAACUCCAACUUGUGCUUCAGAGUAAAAGUAUUUCACAUUCAACCACCUGUUCCAAAGUGGACUUUUGAGUCUUCGUAACAGCUGUAAAGAAAUAAAGUUUUGUAAACUUUGACGACCUCUGAACAAUCGAUUUGAAAGGAAAAUGCCUUUUUAGCUAAAAACUGUGUAAAGAGACAAGAACAGGAUAUUCUUUCAUGCAUAACAUGUGUCCCUGAUAUAAAUCCUCAUUUAUUUUUUCCUUGUUGUUUGUGACAAGUUUCGUCACUUGAGGGGAAAUUAAAGGUGGGAGGAAACAAUGAGGUAGUCUCAGGGGCUUUUGUAGGAGGUGGAACAACAGAUGGUUUCUUUUUUCUCGUUUUUUAAUAGAAUUCAUAAAUGAUCCACUGCAUCGUCAUUCCUGUUCAUCUGUUGCGUUAAAUACUCUGCAAUGUUGUGGCUCAAAGGAAAUCAAGUCCACUGCUUGAAGCCUGAAAGUGCCUGCUUCCAUUCAGAGAAGAACUGCAUUUUAGAAGACUAAUGUGACCAAUAAUGCUCAAACACGAGGGUUUUCUUCCCCCUUGUUUGACUUGCUUUCACUGACGGAGAAUGAUAUUGUACUGCAGAGAGCAGAUCAGGUGUUUGUGCAGCAGUCGCAUGCUAAUUCGAAGCCAUUGCCCUUCCCACAGGGCACCAGAUCCAAAUGUCAACAUCACCCUUGCCAAAUUAGAGACGUGUUUUAUUUACGAACACAUGGAGACAUGGGAGCAUCCGAGGGGUGAAUGUAUCGGUCCAGCUCUUUACAUAAUAUGAAAUACUAUGUGAGAAAAAAGCCUGAGGCAGAUUUCUCCUGAAAAAGACUAAGAAGAAAUCCAUUAAAGAAGGUGUAAAUGUGUUGGUCCCGUAGGACCAAGCUGACCAUUAAAAUUGUUAAUCUGCUGGAUUUUGUUAUAAUGUGAUGGCUCUCUUUAGGGAAAAGGCUGGGAUGUUAAACACAAAUUCAAUGAAAGAUGGAAAUGUGACUUUAGGAGUAGACGAGAUGUCACGGUUGAUGGGCCUCUUGUGUGAUGGUCUGAGACAAUGCUUCUCAGAUUAAAAAUGGUGGAAAAUGUGUUCUAGGUUGAAACUGAAUCCUGAAGCAGAGGAGUUCAAGUAUCUUUGUCUAUGAUGGGGUGAGUGGUCGACCAGGGCUUCAAUCCUGGUUUUUCAUAGUAGUGAAUCAAAGGCAAAGCUCUAGAUGAUGAAUGAUAAAUGACCCACACCUUUCAGAGUCAGAAGACUCCUAAGUGCUUUACACUACAGUGUAUCAUUCAUCUAUCCAUUCACACACUGAUGGUGAUGAGCUACAAUGUAGCCACAGCCACCCUGGGGCGCCCCUCAUAGCAAGGGGAAGGAAU